AUUGAACGCUAGCGGGAUGCUUUACACAUGCAAGUCGAACGAGUGGCGGACGGGUGAGUAAUAUAACGGAACGUGCCCAGUAGGGGGGGAAAACUACUAGAAAGAGUGGCUAAUACCGUAAACUAUUGGAGCGGCCGAUAUGGGAUUAGCUAGUUGGUGGGGUAAAGGCUAACCAAGGCAACGAUCCGUAGCUGGUUUGAGAGGACGACCAGCCACACUGGGACUGAGACACGGCCCAGACUCCUACGGGAGGCAGCAGUGGGGAAUUUUGGACAAUGGGGGAAAGCCUGAUGCAGCCAUCCCGCGUGUAUGAGAAGGCCUUCGGGUUGUAAAGUACUUUUGGCAGAGAAGCGGUACCGGCAGAAUAAGCACCGGCUAACUACGUGCCAGCCGCCGCGGUAAUUC
rnacentral:rRNA from 1 species